GCGAGCCUGAUCCAGCCAUGCCGCGUGCAGGAAGACUGCCCUAUGGGUUGUAAACUGCUUUUAUACGGGAAGAAACCCAUCUACGUGUAGGUGGCUGACGGUACCGUAAGAAUAAGCAUCGGCUAACUCCGUGCCAGCAGCCGCGGUAAUACGGAGGAUGCAAGCGUUAUCCGGAAUCAUUGGGUUUAAAGGGUCCGUAGGUGGAUUGGUAAGUCAGAGGUGAAAGCCUGCAGCUCAACUGUAGAACUGCCUUUGAUACUGCUAGUCUUGAAUUAUUGUGAAGUGGUUAGAAUAUGUAGUGUAGCGGUGAAAUGCAUAGAUAUUACAUAGAAUACCAAUUGCGAAGGCAGAUCACUAACAAUAUAUUGACACUGAUGGACGAAAGCGUGGGGAGCGAACGGGAUUAGAUACCCCGGUAGUCCACGCCGUAAACGAUGGUCACUAGCUGUUCGGAUUUCGGUCUGAGUGGCUAAGCGAAAGUGAUAAGUGACCCACCUGGGGAGUACGUUCGCAAGAAUGAAACUCAAA
rnacentral:rRNA from 1 species